GACGCCGUGUCGGGGCGGCGCGCUAGGCACACGCUCAUGGUCUUGCCCUGCCCCUGCGCCACCAUCUCGAAGUAGGUGGACAUGCCGCGCCGGUAGUUGUCCGUGGUGUUGACGGCGCUCCACAGGGUGCCGUCCACGAUCUGGUCGAACACGGGCGGUUCCUUGCCCCCGUCGAAGCCGCCGUAGAAGUAGGUGGUGCGGACAAGGUAGCGCGUGCCCUUGACGACGGGCAACUGGUAGCAGUACUUCCGCGCGGUGGCGUCCGGGAAGUAGCGCAGCGCGGCGAGCAGGGGGAGGAGGUGGGGCUUGUUGAUGGCGGAGGCGUUCCCGACGGCGGUGAAGCCCUCAUCCUUGGCCCACUUGAUGCUCCCUACCUGCACGUCCUUGUCCGACCCGCAGCUUAUAUAGAACCCUCUGGGCUGUGGCACGGCGGCGGCGGGCUGCUGCUGGGAGGAAGAGGAGGGGAAUAACGUGGCGACGGUGACGACGACAAAGGCGAGGAAGGAGGGGAACGAUGCGAUGCGGCUU
rnacentral:lncRNA from 1 species